UGGUGGAGUGAUUUGUCUGGUUGAUUCCGUUAACGAACGAGACCUCGACCUGCUAAAUAGUUGCAGUCACCUUCGGGUGGCUGUGAACUUCUUAGAGGGACUAUCGGUGUGUAGCCGGUGGAAGUUCGAGGCAAUAACA
rnacentral:rRNA from 1 species